rnacentral:rRNA from 1 species
CGUGUAGGUGUGUGUUCCAGGUAAAUCCGGUUCACUUUAACACUGAGGCGUGAUGACGAGGCACUACGGUGCUGAAGCAACAAAUGCCCUGCUUCCAGGAAAAGCCUCUAAGCAUCAGGUAACAUCAAAUCGUACCCCAAACCGACACAGGUGGUCAGGUAGAGAAUACCAAGGCGCUUGAGAGAACUCGGGUGAAGGAACUAGGCAAAAUGGUGCCGUAACUUCGGGAGAAGGCACGCUGACAUGUAGGUGAAGUGAUUUACUCAUGGAGCUGAAGUCAGUCGAAGAUACCAGCUGGCUGCAACUGUUUAUUAAAAACACAGCACUGUGCAAACACGAAAGUGGACGUAUACGGUGUGACGCCUGCCCGGUGCCGGAAGGUUAAUUGAUGGGGU